rnacentral:rRNA from 1 species
UACAGAGGGGCAAGCGUUAUUCGGAAUUAUUGGGCGUAAGGGCGCGAUAGGCGGCCUGGCGUAAGUGGAAGGUGAAAUCCCUCGGCUUAAACCGAGGAACUGCCCUCCAAACUGCUUGGCUUGAGUCCGGGAGAGGUGAGUGGAAGUUCCGGUGUGAGCGGUGAAAUGCGUAGAUAUCGGAAGGAACACCUGUGGCGAAAGCGGCUCACUGGACCAUUACCUGACGCUGAUGCACGAAAGCUAGGGGGAGCAAACAGG